GACGGUGAAUGCGUACGAUAUAUGGAGGAACACCGGUGGCGAAAGCGGCUCUCUGGUCUGUAACUGACGCUGAGGCUCGAAAGCGUGGGGAGCGAACAGGAUUAGAUACCCUGGUAGUCCACGCCGUAAACGAUGAGUGCUAGGUGUUGGAUCCUUUCCGA
rnacentral:rRNA from 1 species